CUAUAAGGAAGAAGAAAAAAAAAAAUGGUUGGUAAAAGAAAGCGGUUGAGAAAAGGGUGGGCUGGGUUAUCGGUUACCAUCAACAAACCCAACCCAAUUUUGAAAAUGUGGAUGAUGAUGUCUUUUUAUAAUAUCCUUCAUUUCUUUCUUUGUUUUUCACCUUCAAAUAUAUAAAUAAUAAACAAUAAUAAUCUACCCCCUUCUUUUUCAAAACCCUAAUUUCUUUUCCCCCAUCACCGAUCUCAAUUAUUUCAUCAGAUCUGUUUCUCUGCUUCCUCGUCAGGAGUUAUGUCUUUUGUGCGGAAUUUUCAAGCAGAAGAUCAUAAUUUAAAUGGUGGUUAUCGUUCCACCUAUGGAGUAAACAACAAUGGCCACCCUGAUAGAAAAAGAAGCAGGAACUAUUACAAUCAGAGGAAUUAUAACGAUUAUUACAUUGAUAACCAGACAAAAUUUGGGCACCAAGGUGGCAACUAUAACAAUUAUAAUGCGGACUAUACUAGUUAUGUCAAUUAUGAUGUUGCCCCAUCAUCUCUGAGAAAGAGAAAAUAUUCAGCUCCUGUUUGCGAAGAAAGCCAGAAGCUCAAUCAUCCUUCCACAGUCCAUGACAAUUUCCCUUCAUCCCGUGGUUUUCAAGCUUAUCCUACAAGAUCCAAUGCUUACGCUACCACAACCAGCAGCAAACCUGAUUUCUCUAUAUUUGAUGAUGAUAAACCCAUCUUUAUGUCUAGGGAUGAUAUCGAUAGAUACUCUCCAUCAAGAAAAGACGGUAUUGAUGUACUUCACGAAACACACUUGCGGUAUUCCUAUUGUGCGUUUCUUCAGAAUCUCGGAACAAGGCUUGAGCUGCCUCAAACUACCAUUGGGACAUCCAUGGUUCUGUGCCACCGAUUUUUUGUUCGGCGAUCACAUGCUUGCCAUGACAGAUUUUUGAUAGCUACUGCUGCCCUUUUUCUUGCUGGGAAGUCAGAAGAAUCUCCAUGCCCUUUGAAUAGCAUAUUGAGAACAUCCAGUGAAAUCUUGCACAAACAAGAUUUUACUUUCUUAUCCUACUGGUUUCCUGUUGAUUGGGUUGAACGGUAUCGUGAACGGGUGCUUGAAGCUGAACAGUUGAUACUCACUACUCUAAAUUUUGAACUCAAUGUGAAACAUCCAUAUGCACCUCUUACAUCCGUUCUUAACAAAUUGGGUCUUUCAAAGACUACUUUGGUGAAUCUGGCAUUAAACUUGGUCAGUGAAGGGUGAGUUUUGUUAUUUUAAAUCAUACACCGUUAUGAUUGCAGUAGUGAUGUUUGUUUAUACCGUUCAUCUUGAGGGCAAAACUAGUUCCACUCAAUUGAAACUUGUAUGUGAUAAUCUGAGCUGUUGACUGGUGUUCUCUUCAGGAUCUUCACAAGAUUAUCGUGCUGGCAUGUAUGAUAUUCUUAGCUGGUGGAUUGAUAUGCUGUUCUUGGAAAGUUUUGUUUUACAUCUGAAGUUGAACUGCUGAUGUCUAAUGGAUUGCUUUACCUUGAAUAUGACCCUCUUAUUGUGUUUGGGCUAACAAAGAGCCCCAUGCCCCCAACACAUUUUCUGUCAAACUGUCAAUGUGUUGUAGUUUGUGCUGAUUACCGUUAGCCAAAUGGGUUGUCGUUAUUUCUUAGUGUCCUGGAUGGAAAGAAGAUGAUACAACAUAUAAAUAAUUUGUUUCAAAAGGCAACAAAAUAAGCAAAUGGUCUGAAUUUCAAAUUUACUCAGUCUUUUGUUGUCUUGAACAAGUUAUGGUUAGUCAUCAGUCAUAACUCAUUGAUCAAAAUCGGUUCUUUGGAUCCUUUCCACUAGAGUCAAUCUAUGAUGUGAAGUAGAGUUGUCAAUCGCAAAAUGCAGAAAAUAAUGGUUUGUUCAAAUUUUGUUCCGCUACAGUGCUAUAGCUGCUAUUUGGCAACACUUUGUACCAAAUUGCAUUGCUGAACAAUAGCAAUUUGUUCAAAUUCCACUACACUAUUGUGCUAUAGCGCUGCUAUUAGACAACACUGAUAUGAAGGAAAAUUGAUUUUUCUUCUGCUUCUGGAUUGCUUUUUAUAUAAACAUAAAAAUAGACCCUCUGCUGCCUGCUGGUUCUGUGUGCUUUUUUUAUAAAUAAAAAAAACUGACUGAAACUUUCUACUUCAUCUAUAUUUGGCCUCUUCUCCCACCCCCCAAUGUUCUCCUGAUUAGCCAAUCCGAACGCGUUUAAUUGGGGGCUUUCGAGAACAUAGGGGGUGGGAGGAGAAGCUAUCUAUUUAUGAAUUGUUUUGGAAAAAAUUGUUCCCAAGCAAAAAACUGAUCUGAUGUUGAGCAAUGAUCUUUAUUUUCUUUUCUUUCCCAAGUGCUCCUGCUAAUGCAAUCUCUUAGACUUUCCACCUGUUCAAAUAGUUGUAUCUUUGUUCAGUUGCUUACAGUCUAGUUAUUAAGUUUGUAAUGGGGAUGAAGACUUUAAGAUUUCACUUACUUUCAUUGGGAAAAAAAACAAUUGAAUUAUUCACUCAAAUUAUUAGAAUUUUACUUUCACUUGGCAAUGAAUUCUGUUUUAACUUUUAGCAGUAUUAGGGACAUUUUUGUUCAUGUUUUUGAUAAGGUCAUCCUCUGCUUGAACCAAAGUUGCUGUCAAAAUUAUGAAUGAUGUUGAAAACUUGAAAUGAGAAGCCAUUAGGCUAAAUAUAGGUGUUUUUCUUUUGAAGUAGAUGUCUGAAAGAUCAGAUGCUUGGCUGUAUCGAUCAAUGAUUUUUGUCGUAAUAGUUUCCUCUGAUUAUAGGAUGAUACUUUAUCCUUAAUGUCAUGCUUUGUAAUCUGGUUGUAUCAAUUGAUGUAUGAACUAUUUUUCCGAAAAUGCAUUUUAUAGCAAUUGCUUUCAGGAAAUGCAUUUGCAUUGAUUAUA